UUUUCCUUCACCCAUCCUGAC
rnacentral:piRNA from 1 species